AUUGAACGCUGGCGGCAGGCCUAACACAUGCAAGUCGAACGAGUGGCGGACGUGUGAGUCAUGUCUGGGACACUGCCCGAUGGAGGGGGAUAACUACUGGAAACGGUAGCUAAUACCGCAUACCAUCGGCUUUGCCCAGAUUGGAUUAGCUAGUAGGUGGGGUAAAGGCUCACCUAGGCGACGAUCCCUAGCUGGUCUGAGAGGAUGACCAGCCAAACUGGAACUGAGACACGGUCCAGACUCCGACGGGAGGCAGCAGUGGGGAAUAUUGCACAAUGGGCGCAAGCCUGAUGCAGCCAUGCCGCGUGUAUGAAGAAGGCCUUCGGGUUGUAAAGUACUUUCAGUCGGGAGGCGUUACCGACAGAAGAAGCACCGGCUAACUCCGUGCCAGCAGCCGCGGUAAUAC
rnacentral:rRNA from 1 species